GGCGGGCAGAGCCGCCUGGAGCAGUGGCCCAGGUGCUAGGAAGGAAUGGGUCCCGCCUGCCAGGAGAUGAUCUGAGGUUGGGCCGCCAGCGCCGAGCUGGGUCUGGGCAGAUCGCUCCGAUCCCGCCUCUGAGGUGUGAGGGUGUUCGGUGAUUUCAUUUCAUCAUUACAAACAAUCCUAAGAGAGAAAAUUUAUUACCAUCAUUUUACAAACAAGGAAACUGAGGCAUAGGGAGUGCAAGUGACUUUCCUAAAGCCAGAGAGUAAGUAGUUUUUAGCAAAACAAAAAGCCUAUUCAUUAGAACAUGAGAGGAAAAGGAAGAAAUUGAUAAACCAG
rnacentral:lncRNA from 1 species